UGGGGAAUAUUGCACAAUGGGGGAAACCCUGAUGCAGCGACGCCGCGUGAGUGAAGAAGUAUUUCGGUAUGUAAAGCUCUAUCAGCAGGGACGAUAAUGACGGUACCUGACUAAGAAGCCCCGGCUAACUACGUGCCAGCAGCCGCGGUAAUACGUAGGGGGCAAGCGUUAUCCGGAUUUACUGGGUGUAAAGGGAGCGUAGACGGUGUGGUAAGUCAGGUGUGAAAGCCCGGGGCUCAACCCCGGGAUUGCACUUGAAACUAUCAUGCUAGAGUGCAGGAGAGGUAAGUGGAAUUCCUAGUGUAGCGGUGAAAUGCGUAGAUAUUAGGAGGAACACCAGUGGCGAAGGCGGCUUACUGGACUGUAACUGACGUUGAGGCUCGAAAGCGUGGGGAGCAAACAGG
rnacentral:rRNA from 1 species